AUCGAGCGCUGGCGGCAUGCCUUACACAUGCAAGUCGAACGGUAACGCGGGGCAACCUGGCGACGAGUGGCGAACGGGUGAGUAAUGUAUCGGAACGUGCCCAGUUGUGGGGGAUAACUGCUCGAAAGAGCAGCUAAUACCGCAUACGACCUGAGGGUGAAAGCGGGGGAUCGCAAGACCUCGCGCAAUUGGAGCGGCCGAUAUCAGAUUAGGUAGUUGGUGGGGUAAAGGCUCACCAAGCCAACGAUCUGUAGCUGGUCUGAGAGGACGACCAGCCACACUGGGACUGAGACACGGCCCAGACUCCUACGGGAGGCAGCAGUGGGGAAUUUUGGACAAUGGACGCAAGUCUGAUCCAGCCAUGCCGCGUGCGGGAAGAAGGCCUUCGGGUUGUAAACCGCUUUUGUCAGGGAAGAAACGCUCUGGGUUAAUACCUCGGGGUAAUGACGGUACCUGAAGAAUAAGCACCGGCUAACUACGUGCCAGCAGCCGCGGUAAUACGUAGGGUGCAAGCGUUAAUCGGAAUUACUGGGCGUAAAGCGUGCGCAGGCGGUUAUGCAAGACAGAGGUGAAAUCCCCGGGCUCAACCUGGGAACUGCCUUUGUGACUGCAUAGCUAGAGUACGGUAGAGGGGGAUGGAAUUCCGCGUGUAGCAGUGAAAUGCGUAGAUAUGCGGAGGAACACCGAUGGCGAAGGCAAUCCCCUGGACCUGUGCUGACGCUCAUGCACGAAAGCGUGGGGGGCAAACAGG
rnacentral:rRNA from 1 species